CUCCUCUUGGUGCCUUUUCCACGCUGGGCGGUUUUUCCAGAACAUUCCAUGGAUUUCCGUGGUCAGGAUCCAUCCAUGCUCCGUCUCCUCUUGGUGCCUUUUCCACGCUGGGCGGUUUUUCCAGAACAUUCCAUGGAUUUCCGUGGUCAGGAUCCACCAAUCACGGAUCAUCUCCUGAUGGUUUUUUCCUUGCCACGCGGUUUUUCCAGAACGUUCCAUGGAUUUCCAUGGUCGCAUCCGUCCCUCUUCCAUCCCCUCCUGGUGGUUUUUCCGGAACGUUCCGUGGAUUUCCAGGAUCCAUCUCUCAUCCCUCUUCCGUCAUCUCUUGACGUCCUCGGUGCUGGGCACCCCCUCGUGGCAUCUCCACCCUCUGUCACCUCCUGGUGUCACCUCCCGGUGUCCCACAAUGUCCCUCAGUGUCCCCAGAUGUCCCCUGGUGACCCUGAUGUUCUUGAUGUCCCCCAGUGUCCCCAGUGAUGUCCCCAGUGAUGUCCCCCUGUCCCCUGACUAUGUCAUUGAUGUCUACGCUGUCCCCUGAUGAUGUCAUUGAUAAACCCCCUGUCCCCUGAUGAUGUCAUCAAUGUCCCCACUGUCCUAAUGAUGUCCCCACUGACGUCCCUGCUGUCCCCUGAUGAUGUCAUCAAUGUCCCCGCUGUCCUGAUGAUGUCCCCAGUGAUGUCUCCACUGUCCCCUGAUGAUGUCAUUAACCCCCCCCCCCCCCCCCCCCCCCCCCCCCCCCCCCCCCCCC
rnacentral:lncRNA from 12 species